rnacentral:lncRNA from 14 species
UUCGUGCUCCUAUCCCCGUUUCACAGAUGCGGGAGCCGAGAUGGAGGUUGCGAGGCGCUGGAAGCCGCGGAGGAAGGCAGGCUGCAGUGCCGCCCGAGACACUGCUUGCACUUGACUUUGGGCUGCUGGAAGAGUCGUUCCUGUGAGCUCUCCUCGGGCUGUGCGGACCCCUGCCUCGGCAGAGACCCAGCGCAUCACUGCGAGCGGCUCCCCAGCGGGGCUGCCUUCAGCGGGUCUCAUGGUUUUUAAUCUGAUAGGCUUGUAGAAAGGGAAAAGGAAAGCAGCAGAAGGCAGAGGCCUCAGACCUGCAGGCUGCUGUUCCCAUGACUUUGGGGAAGAUUUUCAAAAGUACAUAAUGAGAGUUUGGGAGCUCUGUUCCUACUGACUUUCAAAAUCCUCCCUUAACGUCUGUGAGCUAGUCCUCUUAAACUCAGUUGGACUACAUGCAGACGAACGUUAGCAGGCUCAGGGCCUAAUGCUUCUCCUGAUUUCACUCCUCUCUUCUAGAGAUCACUGACAAAAAUAUAAGAACGAGUUUUGAAGGGAGAGGUAAUUUCUUUGGGUUUUUUUCUUUUUUUUUUUAAUCUGAAACAGUUGAAAACAGCAGGCUUUGGGGCUCAAAAAGCUGAAACCAUCAUGGCUACAAACACUACAGCUACUCAGAAAAUACGUAAUUCUGGAGCUCCUUACUGAAAAAGUAGUGCAAGGUGACUUCAAGCAGUUGCCAAGUGAUCUUCUCCACAGCACCCAUGAACUUCAGCCUUGAACUGAAGAGGACUCAUCAAAUGCCUUAUGAGACAGCAUGGAAUUGCAAGAGAAGCUGGGAUGUCAGUGAAGGGCAGUCAACUACAGUCUUGGUGUGUGGAGGAGCAGGUCCUGUUCUCCCUGUUGUUGCUCCCACAUAG